rnacentral:rRNA from 1 species
UACGUAGGGACCAAGCGUUGUUCGGAUUUACUGGGCGUAAAGGGCGCGUAGGCGGCGCGGUAAGUCACUUGUGAAAUCUCUGAGCUUAACUCAGAACGGCCAAGUGAUACUGCAGUGCUAGAGUGUGGAAGGGGCAAUCGGAAUUCUUGGUGUAGCGGUGAAAUGCGUAGAUAUCAAGAGGAACACCUGAGGUGAAGACGGGUUGCUGGGCCAACACUGACGCUGAGGCGCGAAAGUGUGGGGAUCAAACAGG